GUAGCAAGCUAAGUGGGCUUAAUUGUGGGGAAAACUCCACAAUUAAGUGCACUUGAGCCAGAGGAGUCUUAGGAUGGGUGACCACCCAGGAAGUCCCGGUUACUGGCUGCA
rnacentral:rRNA from 1 species